GAAAAAAUCAAACCAAAAUAAAUGAGAUCCUUAACAUGAAAAAGAUGAAUAACUUUAAUUUGGUCAGAAAGAAUUAUCAGCUCCUGACAGGAAGUUUGCAUACAUAACGACUAUAAUAAUUGUAUACGUAACUAUAAUUAUAAGUUCAACAAACUUUCAAUUUCUUCCUGUAAAAUUGGCUCUUCCACAGCUAUUUCAACAUACACAGGCUAAAGGUCCAUCAGAUUUUUAGGUGGCUGGUUUCUCUCAAUACAAACAUGGCCCUUUGCUACCUGGAUGAGCACAUCAGCUUACAAAAUUACUUUUUUGACCUGAUAAUGUUGAAUAUGCAUAAAGUGUGUUCCAUAGAACUGGCUCUGCCACAAUGAUAUUCAAGAAAUGAAACUGGCUCUUUGCCACAAUGAGGUUGAAUAUGCAUAAAGUGUAUUCAUAAAUUGGCUCUUUGCCACAAUGAGGUUGAACAUACAAAGUGUAUUCAUGAAACUGGCUCUUUGCCACAAUGAGGUUGAAUAUACAUAAAGUGUAUUCAUGAAACUGGCUCCUUGCCACAAUGAGGUUGAACAUACAUAAAGUGUAUUCAUAAAUUGGUUCUUUGCCACAAUGAGGUUGAAUAUACAUAAGAGUGUUUUCAUAAAUUGGCUCUUUGCCACAAUGAGGUUGAACAUACAUAAAGUGUAUUCAUGAAACUGGCUCCUUGCCACAAUGAGGUUGAAUAUACAUAAAGUGUAUUCAUGAAACUGGCUCCUUGCCACAAUGAGGUUGAACAUACAUAAAGUGUAUUCAUGAAACUGGCUCCUUGCCACAAUGAGGUUGAACAUACAUAAAGUGUAUUCAUAAAUUGGCUCUUUGCCACAAUGAGGUUGAAUAUACAUAAAGUGUAUUCAUGAAACUGGCUCCUUGCCACAAUGAGGUUGAAUAUACAUAAAGUGUAUUCAUAAAUUGGCUCUUUGCCACAAUGAGAUUGAAUAUACAUAAAGUGUAUUCAUGAAACUGGCUCCUUGCCACAAUGAGGUUGAAUAUACAUAAAGUGCAUUCAUGAAACUGGCUCCUUGCCACAAUGAGGUUGAAUAUACAUAGAGUGUAUUCAUAAAACUGGCUCUUUGCCACAAUGAGGUUG